rnacentral:rRNA from 1 species
UUGGGCACUCUAGCGAGACUGCCGGUAAUAAACCGGAGGAAGGUGGGGGAUGACGUCAAAUCAUCAUGCCCCUUAUGACCUGGGCUACACACGUGCUACAAUGGUUGGUACAACGAGUUGCGAGUCGGUGACGGCGAGCUAAUCUCUUAAAGCCAAUCUCAGUUUCGGAUUGUAGGCUGCAACUCGCCUACAUGAAGUCGGAAUCGCUAGUAAUCGCGGAUCAGCACGCCGGCGGUGAAUUACCGGUUCCCGGGCCUU